CAGCCGCCGCGGGAAGACAGAGGAUGCAAGCGUUAUCCGGAAUGAUUGGGCGUAAAGCGUCUGUAGGUGGCUUUUCAAGUCCGCCGUCAAAUCCCAGGGCUCAACCCUGAAAAUGCGGUGGAAACUAGCAGGCUAGAAUACGGUAGGGGCAGGGGGAAUUCCCGGUGUAGCGGUGAAAUGCAUAGAUAUCGGGAAGAACACCAAUGGCGAAAGCAUCCUGCUGGGCCGAUAUUGACACUGACAGACGAAAGCUAGGGGAGCAAAUGGGAUUAGAUACCCCAGUAGUCCCUGUCUCUUAUAC
rnacentral:rRNA from 1 species